rnacentral:rRNA from 1 species
AUGGCUAGGAUGGAUGGCUUCCACCGCCGGCGGCUGCCCGCGGGCGAGGACCGCCUCGGUGCCCUCCCCGACGAUCUCCUCCUUGAUAUCCUGCGCCGCCUCGACACACGCACCGCGCUCGGCGCGGCAGCGCUCUCCAGGCGCUGGGCCGGCCUGGCCCGCGAGGUCCCCGUCCUGGACCUCAAGGUGACCGACAAACUGCCGCCGCGCUAUCACCGGUGCUUCCGCCUCCGCGACGACGCUAGGAAUUCGAAAAUCAGCUCGAUCAUGUCUGACAGGUGGCAUCUAGAGGCUAUCGCCGCCCGGUACGAGCGCCGCGCCAUGCGAUCCAUGGCCUCCUCCGUCAAGGGCCUCCUGGCCAGCCAAGCUCGCCGGCGCGUGGAGAGGCUGUCGCUCGAGGUCUUCGCCUACAGCACCUCGUCCUGCAUCAACCGCGUGGUGGUGGACGCCGUCGAUUCCUGGGGCCUCCGGGAUCUAGAGGUUGUUGCCACGCCGACAGGGCCGAUCGCGUAUCCGGAGCCGCCGGCCUACAGCUUCCCUCUUGGCCUCAUCAGCAAGAAGCCCAGCGAGUCCCGACUGCGAAGCCUCAAGCUUGCCAACUGCUUACCCCCGCCGCUCCGGGGAUUCAACGCGCUCACCAUGCUCGUCCUGCGAGACCUGCCGGCUCCCACACCGCCGGCCGCAUACGAGGCAGUGGUCGCCGACUGCCCGCAACUGCAGGUGCUACACCUCCUGUCAUGCAAGCUCAAGAUAAGAACCGGCAGGGUGGUCCUGGACGCGCCUGAAUCGGAAAUCCGGGAGCUUGUAGUCGACGGCGGGCACAUGGUGGUCGAGGUCCGGUCUCUCCCGAAGCUCGAGAGCCUCGCCAGCCUGCACGGUUGCGUGCUGCUUCGCUCCUUCGCCGCCGUCCCGUGCCUUGCGCGCGUGAGCCUCGCCUGCUCGGUUGACCGACCGGAAGGGGGCAGUUUAUCUGCCCUAAACCGUUUCCAUCGAGACUGCUUGAUUCUGGUGCUCGUGCUCUUCUUCCGGUGCGCCAUCACUGUGAAGGAUCUCGUCUUGCGGUUCACUGGGCCAGAGAUGUGGAUCAUGCCGCCGAAUCCCUUCUCUGAAACAAUGUCGUGCCUGAGAAGGCUGCUCGUCGCCGAUGUGCCUUCCUCAUGGGACGCAUCAUGGCCACGCCUGCUCGUCGAGGCAGCGCCGCUACUUGAGAGCCUUUAUGUGCAUGUCUCCCAUGGCGAAGACGAGCCGAGUCAGGAGGAGAUACCGGGGGAGACCUCGGCUUCGCGCCAUCGCCAUUUGAAGGAGCUGGUUGUCAUUGGCUUCCAGAGGACGGAGAGACAGAUGCACCUUGUGAGGUUCGCCGUGGAGGCAUCCACGGCGCUGCGGCGUGUCGCUCUGCUCAAGCAUGGACGCAUCGAGGACAAGGGGCCCUGCUGCGACUGGGAGGUGGUGAGCCAGCAGACCGCGUGGCGCGACGAGGAGAGGCUCGCCGUUCUCGAUGACAUCGGCUGUUCGACGGGACGGAUCCAAGUGGUGCUCAGUUGA